rnacentral:rRNA from 1 species
CGCGUAGGUGGUUAGGUAAGCGAGAUGUGAAAGCCCCGGGCUUAACCUGGGAACGGCAUUUCGAACUGUCUGACUAGAGUAUGGUAGAGGGUAGUGGAAUUUCCUGUGUAGCGGUGAAAUGCGUAGAUAUAGGAAGGAAUACCAGUGGCGAAGGCGGCUACCUGGACCAAUACUGACACUGAGGUGCGAAAGCGUGGGGAGCAAACG